UAGAGUUAUUACAAACUCCCAACCCAUGUGAACUUACCAUUGUUGCCUCGGCGGGGCCUACCCGGUAUCUACCCUAUAGUGGUUACCCUGUAGCCCGCCGGUGGAAUUCUAAACUAUUGUUAUGUAUGGAAAUCUGAGCGUCUUAUAUUAAUAAGUCA
rnacentral:misc_RNA from 1 species